AGACCGAUAGCGAACAAGUAGAGUGAUCGAAAGGUUAAAAGCACCUUGAAAAGGGAGUUAAACAGCACGUGAAAUUGUUGAAAGGGAAGCGCUUGCGGCCAGACUCGGGGGGCGGGGUUCAGCGGGCGCUCGUCGCCCGUGCACUCCCCGCGUUCCCGGGCCAGCAUCAGUUUCGACGGCCGGUCAAAGGCCCCCGGAAUGUGUCGUCUCUAGGGACGUCUUAUAGCCGGGGGUGCAAUGCGGCCCGUCGGGACUGAGGAACGCGCUCCGGCUCGGAUGCUGGCGUAAUGGUCGUAAGCGGCCCGUCUUGAAACACGGACCAAG
rnacentral:rRNA from 1 species